AGAGUUUGAUCCUGGCUCAGGACGAACGCUGGCGGCGUGCCUAAUACAUGCAAGUAGAACGCUGAAGAGAGGAGCUUGCUCUUCUUGGAUGAGUUGCGAACGGGUGAGUAACGCGUAGGUAACCUGCCUUGUAGCGGGGGAUAACUAUUGGAAACGAUAGCUAAUACCGCAUAACAAUGGAUGACACAUGUCAUUUAUUUGAAAGGGGCAAUUGCUCCACUACAAGAUGGACCUGCGUUGUAUUAGCUAGUAGGUGAGGUAAUGGCUCACCUAGGCGACGAUACAUAGCCGACCUGAGAGGGUGAUCGGCCACACUGGGACUGAGACACGGCCCAGACUCCUACGGGAGGCAGCAGUAGGGAAUCUUCGGCAAUGGGGGCAACCCUGACCGAGCAACGCCGCGUGAGUGAAGAAGGUUUUCGGAUCGUAAAGCUCUGUUGUAAGUCAAGAACGGGUGUGAGAGUGGAAAGUUCACACUGUGACGGUAGCUUACCAGAAAGGGACGGCUAACUACGUGCCAGCAGCCGCGGUAAUACGUAGGUCCCGAGCGUUGUCCGGAUUUAUUGGGCGUAAAGCGAGCGCAGGCGGUUUGAUAAGUCUGAAGUUAAAGGCUGUGGCUCAACCACAGUUCGCUUUGGAAACUGUCAAACUUGAGUGCAGAAGGGGAGAGUGGAAUUCCAUGUGUAGCGGUGAAAUGCGUAGAUAUAUGGAGGAACACCGGUGGCGAAAGCGGCUCUCUGGUCUGUAACUGACGCUGAGGCUCGAAAGCGUGGGGAGCGAACAGGAUUAGAUACCCUGGUAGUCCACGCCGUAAACGAUGAGUGCUAGGUGUUGGAUCCUUUCCGGGAUUCAGUGCCGCAGCUACGCAUUAAGCACUCCGCCUGGGGAGUACGACCGCAAGGUUGAAACUCAAAGGAAUUGACGGGGGCCCGCACAAGCGGUGGAGCAUGUGGUUUAAUUCGAAGCAACGCGAAGAACCUUACCAGGUCUUGACAUCCCGAUGCUAUUUCUAGAGAUAGAAAGUUACUUCGGUACAUCGGUGACAGGUGGUGCAUGGUUGUCGUCAGCUCGUGUCGUGAGAUGUUGGGUUAAGUCCCGCAACGAGCGCAACCCCUAUUGUUAGUUGCCAUCAUUCAGUUGGGCACUCUAGCGAGACUGCCGGUAAUAAACCGGAGGAAGGUGGGGAUGACGUCAAAUCAUCAUGCCCCUUAUGACCUGGGCUACACACGUGCUACAAUGGUUGGUACAACGAGUUGCGAGUCGGUGACGGCGAGCUAAUCUCUUAAAGCCAAUCUCAGUUCGGAUUGUAGGCUGCAACUCGCCUACAUGAAGUCGGAAUCGCUAGUAAUCGCGGAUCAGCACGCCGCGGUGAAUACGUUCCCGGGCCUUGUACACACCGCCCGUCACACCACGAGAGUUUGUAACACCCGAAGUCGGUGAGGUACCCUUUUGGAGCCAGCCGCCUAAGGUGGGACAGAUGAUUGGGGUGAAGUCGUAACAAGGUA
rnacentral:rRNA from 1 species